rnacentral:rRNA from 1 species
ACGAACGCUGGCGGCGUGGAUAAGACAUGCAAGUCGAACGAGAGAAUUGCUAGCUUGCUAAUAAUUCUCUAGUGGCGCACGGGUGAGUAACACGUGAGUAACCUGCCCCCGAGAGCGGGAUAGCCCUGGGAAACUGGGAUUAAUACCGCAUAGUAUCGAAAGAUUAAAGCAGCAAUGCGCUUGGGGAUGGGCUCGCGGCCUAUUAGUUAGUUGGUGAGGUAACGGCUCACCAAGGCGAUGACGGGUAGCCGGUCUGAGAGGAUGUCCGGCCACACUGGAACUGAGACACGGUCCAGACACCUACGGGUGGCAGCAGUCGAGAAUCAUUCACAAUGGGGGAAACCCUGAUGGUGCGACGCCGCGUGGGGGAAUGAAGGUCUUCGGAUUGUAAACCCCUGUCAUGUGGGAGCAAAUUAAAAAGAUAGUACCACAAGAGGAAGAGACGGCUAACUCUGUGCCAGCAGCCGCGGUAAUACAGAGGUCUCAAGCGUUGUUCGGAAUCACUGGGCGUAAAGCGUGCGUAGGCUGUUUCGUAAGUCGUGUGUGAAAGGCGCGGGCUCAACCCGCGGACGGCACAUGAUACUGCGAGACUAGAGUAAUGGAGGGGGAACCGGAAUUCUCGGUGUAGCAGUGAAAUGCGUAGAUAUCGAGAGGAACAAUCGUGGCGAAGGCGGGUUCAUGGACAUUAACUGACGCUGAGGCACGAAGGCCAGGGGAGCGAAAGGGAUUAGAUACCCCUGUAGUCCUGGCAGUAAACGGUGCACGCUUGGUGUGCGGGGAAUCGACCCCCUGCGUGCCGGAGCUAACGCGUUAAGCGUGCCGCCUGGGGAGUACGGUCGCAAGAUUAAAACUCAAAGAAAUUGACGGGGACCCGCACAAGCGGUGGAGUAUGUGGCUUAAUUCGAUGCAACGCGAAGAACCUUACCUGGGCUUGACAUGUAAUGAACAACAUGUGAAAGCAUGCGACUCUUCGGAGGCGUUACACAGGUGCUGCAUGGCCGUCGUCAGCUCGUGUCGUGAGAUGUUUGGUUAAGUCCAGCAACGAGCGCAACCCCUGUUGCCAGUUACCAGCACGUGAAGGUGGGGACUCUGGCGAGACUGCCCAGAUCAACUGGGAGGAAGGUGGGGACGACGUCAGGUCAGUAUGGCCCUUAUGCCCAGGGCUGCACACGUACUACAAUGCCCAGUACAGAGGGGGCCGAAGCCGCGAGGCGGAGGAAAUCCUAAAAACUGGGCCCAGUUCGGACUGUAGGCUGCAACCCGCCUACACGAAGCCGGAAUCGCUAGUAAUGGCGCAUCAGCUACGGCGCCGUGAAUACGUUCCCGGGUCUUGUACACACCGCCCGUCACAUCAUGGAAGCCGGUCGCACCCGAAGUAUCUGAAGCCAACCGCAAGGAGGCAGGGUCCUAAGGUGAGACUGGUAACUGGGAUG